rfam:Trichophyton rubrum CBS 118892 genomic scaffold supercont2.7, whole genome shotgun sequence.
GCCCGCAUGGCUUAGUUGGUAAAGCGCAUCACUAGUAAUUCACUCCCGGCCCAGGAGAGUCGCGAUGAUGAGAUCCCCGGUUCGAAUCCGUGUGUGGGCA